rnacentral:rRNA from 1 species
GGGCCCGCACAAGCGGUGGAGCAUGUGGUUUAAUUCGAUGAUACGCGAGGAACCUUACCAGGGCUUAAAUGUAGUGGGACAGGUCUAGAGAUAGACCCUUCUUCGGACUCAUUACAAGGUGCUGCAUGGUUGUCGUCAGCUCGUGCCGUGAGGUGUCAGGUUAAGUCCUAUAACGAGCGCAACCCCUGUCGUUAGUUACCAGCAAGUAAAGUUGGGUACUCUAGCGAGACUGCCGGUGCAAACCGAGAGGAAGGUGGGGAUGACGUCAAAUCAUCACGGCCCUUACGUCCUGGGCUACACACGUGCUACAAUGGCCGGUACAGAGAGCAGCCACCACGCGAGUGGGAGCGAAUCUUCAAAGCCGGUCUCAGUUCGGAUCGCAGUCUGCAACUCGACUGCGUGAAGCUGGAAUCGCUAGUAAUCG